rnacentral:rRNA from 1 species
GCGGUGGAGCAUGUGGUUUAAUUCGAAGCAACGCGAAGAACCUUACCAAGUCUUGACAUCCCUCUGACCGGAAUGUAAUGAUUCCUUUCCUUCGGGACAGAGGAGACAGGUGGUGCAUGGUUGUCGUCAGCUCGUGUCGUGAGAUGUUGGGUUAAGUCCCGCAACGAGCGCAACCCCUAUUUCCAGUAGCCAGCAGUAAGAUGGGCACUCUGGAGAGACUGCCGGGGAUAACCCGGAGGAAGGUGGGGAUGACGUCAAAUCAUCAUGCCCCUUAUGAUUUGGGCUACACACGUGCUACAAUGGCAGUUACAAAGAGAAGCGAAGCUGUGAAGUGGAGCAAACCUCAAAAAGGCUGUCUCAGUUCGGAUUGUAGUCUGCAACUCGACUACAUGAAGCUGGAAUCGCUAGUAAUCGCAGAUCAGAAUGCUGCGGUGAAUACGUUCCCGGGUCUUGUACACACCGCCCGU